UUCAUCCAGGUUUCCUGGCUGUGAUAUUUAUUUCUGCAGGGGUAAUGUUUCAUCAUUUCAAUUUUCCAUCAGUGGAGAGCUGUGCUCCUGGAUUCUGUUUCCUAAAAGCUCUGCUUAUUCAGCUUUCACAGCAGGAAAACAAUUGAGGAGGGGUGUCAAGGUCCAUCCAGAGCUCCUGUUUUCCCCAGUUGCCUUAGAAUCAGAGUGGAGGAGGCAGCUGAAACAGUCACCUGUAAAAACAGGCUCCAACAACGCAAUACAAACAUGUAAAAGGAGACUAAGCACAAAGUACAUUUUAGCCAGUCAGCAUGACAUUUAGACCCCAAAGCUGGUGAAGAGCAGUAAGACCUGCAACCCACACAAAAAAC